GAGAAACGGCUACCACAUCUAAGGAAGGCAGCAGGCGCGUAAAUUACCCAAUCCCGAUUCGGGGAGGUAGUGACAAGAAAUAGCAAACUGGAUGAAUUUUCAUCACAGUAUUGCAAUGAGAACAAUGUAAAUGCUUUAUCGAUUAACAAUUGGAGGGCAAGUCUGGUGCCAGCAGCCGCGGUAAUUCCAGCUCCAAUAGCGUAUAUUAAAGUUGUUGCAGUUAAAAAGCUCGUAGUUGAACUUCUGUACAUUCCCAGUUCUGGCUUCGGUCAAGCUGUGGAGUGUGCAUCCGCUUGCAAACUUAGACCGGCCUUCACUGGUCGACUAAGGGAGUAAGCCCUUUACUUUGAAAAAAUUAGAGUGUUUCAGGCAGGCAAUGGCUCGAAUACAUUAGCAUGGAAUAAUGGAAUAGGACUUUUGUCCAUUUGGUUGGUUAUUGGACAUAAGUAAUGAUUAAAAGGGACAGUUGGGGGCAUUAGUACUUAAUUGUCAGAGGUGAAAUUCUUGGAUUUAUUAAAGACUAACUUAUGCGAAAGCAUUUGCCAAGGAUGUUUUCAUUAAUCAAGAACGAAAGUUAGGGGAUCAAA
rnacentral:rRNA from 1 species